UGGGUGUCAAUAGUAAUCAUAUUCUUUCGAUAGUUGAAAAUCCACGGGCUAAAAAUAAAGCCCGACCCAUUCUGUUUUCUAGGGUUUACAAUUCACUAUAAAAUCCCAAAACUCACCUCUCUUCUCUUCCUAAUCGCAGUUACUUCUGCGCAGUCUCAUUCCUGUUCAAUUAGGGUUUCUGUCAACAAGUUCUCUCCAGUUUUCAACCGCAAUGAGGGCCAAGUGGAAGAAGAAGCGUAUGAGGAGAUUGAAGAGGAAGCGCCGAAAGAUGAGACAGAGAUCCAAGUAGAGUGUGUUCUCAGCCAUCAUCGUUUGCUCUUAGAUUUGUUUUUCCCUUUCGUAUUGUUAUUGUUUUGUAAUCAGACUCAUCGGCUAGAGAGUAGUAUCUGUUUCUCUCUCUAAUUUUGCCGUUAUGAUAUUUUGGUUUUGUAUUAGCUCAAAGAUAUUGUUCUUUCUGGAAUUGAGUAGCUUUUACUUUUGAA